CCCUUAGAUGUUCUGGGCUGCACGCGCGCGACAAUGACGUUUGCAACGAGAUUGCGAGGCCGUCAGGUCGAGCUGAUCUUGCAAGCUGCGUCGUGAUAGGGACAGUCGAUUGCAAUUAUUCGACUCGAACGAGGAAUUCCUUGUAAUCGCGCAUCAUCAGUGCGCGCUGAAUACGUCCCUGCCCUUUGUACACACCGCCCGUCGCUCCUACCGAUUGAGUGUUCCGGUGAAUGUUUUGGAUCGGCUUCAAGUUGGUUCGCGCCUCUUGCUUGCUGUGAAAUCAUGUAAACCUUAUUGCUUAGAGGAAGGAGAAGUCGUAACA
rnacentral:rRNA from 1 species